CCUACGGGUGGCAGCAGUGAGGAAUAUUGGUCAAUGGGCGCGAGCCUGAACCAGCCAAGUAGCGUGAAGGAUGACUGCCCUACGGGUUGUAAACCUCUUUUACCAAGGAAUAAAGUGAGGCACGUGUGCCUUCUUGUAUGUACCUCAUGAAUAAGGCACGGCUUACUCCCGGCCAGCCGCCGCGGUAAUACGGAGGAACCGAGCGUUAUUCGGAUUUAUUGGGUUUAAAGGGAGCGUAGAUGGGUCGUUAAGUCAGUUGUGAAAGUUUGCGGCUCAACCGUAGAAUUGCAAUUGAUACUGGCAGCCUUGAGUACGGUUGAGGAAGGCGGAAUUCGUGGUGUAGCGGUGAAAUGCUUAGAUAUCACGAAGAACUCCGAUUGCGAAGGCAGCUUACUAAACUGCCACUGACAUUGAUGCUCGAAAGUGUGGGUAUCAAACAGGAUUAGAUACCCUUGUAGUC
rnacentral:rRNA from 1 species